ACUCCUACGGGAGGCAGCAGUGGGGAAUUUUGGACAAUGGGCGAAAGCCUGAUCCAGCAAUGCCGCGUGAGCGAAGAAGGCCUUCGGGUUGUAAAGCUCUUUCAGUUGAGAAGAAAAGACCGUGACUAAUAAUCACGAUUCAUGACGGUAUCAACAGAAGAAGCACCGGCUAACUACGUGCCAGCAGCCGCGGUAAUACGUAGGGUGCGAGCGUUAAUCGGAAUUACUGGGCGUAAAGGGUGCGCAGGCGGUUCUGUAAGUCAGAUGUGAAAUCCCCGGGCUUAACCUGGGAAUUGCGUUUGAAACUGCAGGGCUAGAGUGUGGCAGAGGGGGGGUGGAAUUCCAUGUGUAGCAGUGAAAUGCGUAGAGAUAUGGAAGAACAUCGAUGGCGAAGGCAACCCCCUGGGUUAACACUGACGCUCAUGCACGAAAGCGUGGGGAGCAAACAGGAUUAGAUACCCUGGUAGUCCACGCCCUAGACUAUGUCAACUAGUUGUCGGGUCUUAUUAGAUUUGGUAACGUAGCUAACGCGUGAAGUUGACCGCCUGGGGAGUACGGUCGCAAGAUUAAAACUCAAAGGAAUUGACGGGGACCCGCACAAGCGGUGGAUUAUGUGGAUUAAUUCGAUGCAACGCGAAAAACCUUACCUACCCUUGACAUGUCAGAAAGUUUUUAGAGAUAAAUCUUCGUGCCCGAAAGGGAAUUUGAACACAGGUGCUGCAUGGCUGUCGUCAGCUCGUGUCGUGAGAUGUUGGGUUAAGUCCCGCAACGAGCGCAACCCUUGUCAUUAAAUGCCAUCAUUUGGUUGGGCACUUUAAUGGAACUGCCGGUGAUAAACCGGAGGAAGGUGGGGAUGACGUCAAGUCCUCAUGGCUCUUAUGGGUAGGGCUUCACACGUAAUACAAUGGCG
rnacentral:rRNA from 1 species